UGCAUUCACUACUGUAAGUCGCUCUGGAUAAGAGCGUCUGCUAAAUGACAAAGA
rfam:Salmo salar isolate Sally breed double haploid chromosome ssa02, whole genome shotgun sequence.